UCUUUUUUAAAAAUCUUUACUUCUGCUAUUCAUAUUCCUAUUUGCUUCUUUAAUUUCUCACACAUACUUAAAGUUCCAACGUACCUCUUGAAUGGCUGUCAUGACAACAUGUUGAACAGAUUCCUCCAUCAUCAUAAUGGCUUGGAUGUACUCUGAAAACAAGAAUAAUCUGGAAUGUCACUGUUCAAGUUAAAGAUACUCAAGGGAGUAAAAGGCUUACACUUCAUGAAUUCUUAUAAGUAGUCUCCCAUGUUUUGACUCUUCCCAGGAAUUCUUCAUAAGUGGUUAAAUAUCUGCACCACAGUUCACAGCACAGCCUAAGAUGAGUUGAAGCAUCCUUCCGAGCUCUGCGGCAUCAGAAUGUUCCCCAAUGAGGUUCACAUCAGGAAGGGUAAAGUCAUUAAUUUGCUGUCCUAAGAUCUGAAUAGAGACAAAAGGAUUAGAACUGCAUUUACAUUUAUAUGUCCAAAUAAAAUAUUUGAUACAAAUUA